rnacentral:rRNA from 1 species
AUUGAACGCUGGCGGCAGGCCUAACACAUGCAAGUCGAGCGAGCGGCGGACGGGUGAGUAAUGUAUGGGGACUGCCCGAUAGAGGGGGAUAAAUACUGGAAACGGUGGCUAAUACCGCAUACUAUCGGAAAACCCAUAUUGGAUUAGCGAGUAGGUGGGGUAAAGGCUCACCUAGGCGACGAUCUCUAGCUGGUCUGAGAGGAUGAUCAGCCACACUGGGACUGAUACACGGCCCAGACUCCUCCGGAGGCAGCAGUGGGGAAUAUUCGACAAUGGGCGCAAUCCUGAUACAGCCCUGCCGCGUGUAUGAAGCAGGCCUUAGGGUUGUAAAGUACUUUCAGCGGGGCGGCGUUACCCGCAUAAGAAGCAACGGCUAACUCCGUGCCAGCAGCCGCGGUAAUAC